CCUGGCGCCAAAUUUGAACAACGACGCGACGCGCGCUGCUCAUUUUCCAGCCGCCUUCUAAUUCUUCCAACAUCCGAUCCAGAUCCAGUCCCGUACUCCGACCGUAGUCGUAGAAAAUUAGUCGGAAUAUUUUUUGUCAUUCUUUCAUCUUUACCUCAUCUGGGCCUGUAUAUCCAAUAAUCAUGAUGUCGUGUGUAGAUGCAAUCGAUGGAAUGAGACAUGGGCACAGAAAUAAAGGACAAAUUCAGGUCAUCUUUGGGCCCAUGUUCUCUGGUAAAACAACUGAACUGAUCAGGAGGAUAAAGCGUUAUCAGAUUGCAAAUCACUACUGUCUUCUCAUCAAAUACGACAAAGACACAAGAUAUGACAAGGAUGGUGUAGCAACUCAUGAUAGGCAAGUAUGUAAAGCUACUUCUGCUAGCAAUCUAUCUUCAGUCACAGAGCUUGCUGAGGAGUAUGAGGUCAUAGGAAUCGAUGAAGGUCAAUUUUUUCCUGAUUGUGUCAAGUUUUGUGAAGAAAUGGCCAAUCUAGGCAAAAUCAUCAUUGUAGCUGCAUUAGACGGAACAUUCCAGAGGAAGGGUUUUGGUGAUAUUUUAAAUCUUGUACCACUUGCUGAAAGUGUCAUAAAGCUCAACGCUGUCUGUAUGCAUUGCUAUAACGAAGCUUCAUAUACCCGAAGGAUAGGAUGUGAAACAGCUGUGGAGGUCAUAGGGGGCGCUGACAAGUACAUGGCCGUCUGCCGAGACUGUUACUUACUCAGUCCAAGUAAGAUCAAUGAUAACAGUAUACAAACCCCCAUCACGCUAGAUACAACACACAAAGCUAAUAAACAAGGGAGGCGAUUAUUCCAAUCUCCCAGCAGUGAUGGAGAGUCAAGCAUGUCCCCUUGACUACGGUGAAGUUUGGUUUUUAAUUAGUUUCUAGAAUUUGAAUUGUAAUUAUUAUGAAUUCUUCAAUUUUUAACCGUUUUACAUACAUGUUAUCUUUUUAAUCAUUGUUCAGGUAGAAAAUAACUUUUAAAGUAAUGCUGUUCAUGAUUUUUCUUGAAAUGCAUGUGUGUGUAGUUUGACAGACUGUUGGACAGUAAUUUGCUUAAAAGCAACUUUCAAAUGAAUUAAGUUGUCAGGAAUAGGGGGAGUCCAACCCAAGUAGGUUUUUUAUAAAAAGAAAAAGAAAGGCAGAAACUCGUUAAAAAUUGAUGAAAUUCAAGAGUUAUCAAUUUUGUGAUACCUCAUGUAAUCUGACCUCCCAAUGUCCCAUUCAAAAAAAAAAAAUUAUACAAAUUUGUGAUAGAUGAUGGAUUUUCUUGCUCAAGAAGAUUAUUUGGAAUAUGUGUCUAAUUAUCACAUCAAAAUCAUUUGAUUUUCUUGGAGAUAACUGCAGUUGUUGAGUUCAUUGUUGGGCCUUCAUACAUGUGGGAGAGCAGCUUACAUACAACAUCACAAAAAUAAAACUAUCACAAAUCUGGUAUCUCUUUCCAUAAAAAAAUCAAUAAUCUUUUUUUUUUUCUGCAUUUAUGGAAACCUACUUUAAUAUUAGGGUGAACUUUCCCUUUGAAACUAUAACAUAUUAUAAACAAUGUCCUAAUAUGACCUGGGAAUAAUUUGAUGAAGCUUGUCAGUUUUUUCAUUCUCUGGUGAUUACCACAGUAACAGUGAGAGACCAGUUCUUCUCAGCCAAUCAAAAUCAAGGAAUUGACUGAUAUUGUCCAAUCUGACAAUUUAGUCAGUGCCGACAACAUUCAUGUAACACACCCUGAUAUCAGAACAGAGAAAGAUUGCCAUUGGUAGCUAUUUCAGACUAUAUUCAAUUCAAGAAUAUCAAUAAUAAUAUUAAUAUUCACACCUUCAGCGCUUUCAGAUGUAUUGUUUGAGAGUAUUUAUCAAAACGGUUGAGAUGGAUUAUUAAUUGGUAUUCAUAUUCUUAAUCCACUCUGUAGUAUCAAAUAGCACUCGGCAGUGGCCAACACAAUGGCUCGUAUUCUGAUAGCAGGUUUAACUUAAACUCAGGUUUGAAGUUGUAGUUUAAGUAUGGAUAGCCAAUUGUUACAUAAAUCACUAACAGUAAAGAUAUCAUAUUUCAGCUCAUUUGGCUCUCAAAUCAUUCAUUAUUGUCUAGGAAGUAUACAUUGAUGAUUGUCUUCACCAUCGAUGAAUCAGGAAAGAGCACAAUAAACAUAAGAAACACACAACUUAAUAAAAAUGUUGAUACUUUUGGCUUCCCUUACUUAAACCACAACUUUAAACCUGAGUUUAAGUUAAACCUGCUAUCAGAAUACGGGCCAAUAUGUUUUACUUUCCACCCUAGGUUGGUAUUGAUUUUAUUCUUCAUCAAUAAUGCCUGUUUGUAUACUUCUACCUCAUUCAUACAAAUACAAUGUACUGUAUGCAUUAUUAGUCAGGAAACAAAUCUGGGAUGAGAUAAGAUUCUAUAUUUGUCUCCGUUGUUUGUCUGGUUCUGUGUUUAGCACUUUGAAGAAAAGUUGGAAAAUUAUUAAAUUUCAAAAAUUCUUCUGACGUGCACCUGUUCAAAUAUCAUUCAGUAUAUUUGGGUUUAGUCCAAUAAACUCUAUUGUUUGUUGAUGCAUUUUUGUCAGCCAAUCUGAAAAAAAAAUCCUCAUUCAAUGAAUGUGUUUGAAUCUAUUGACAAGAGGCUAGUUAGUUCAUGAACCAUGAAUGACAAACCAACCACAAUGCUCUAAAUAAACUGGACAUAUACAUGUAAUCCUCAAUAAUAGGACUAUCUGUUUUUAUAUCACAUAAUUAUGAAGUAUUAGGAUCAGCGAAAAUUGUUUAUAGCAGUAUAUUAAUUUUGUCUUUUUGUAAAGGAACAACAUGUAAUAUAGCUUUAUUUGUAUUCUACAUAUAUUUUAUUUUUCACCGAACAUUGUAUGUCUGACAAUCAAGAUUAACAUACAAGUAUAUGACUAAGCAUUAAAAAAAAAAUGAAACAAAUAUUAUUGGGUGAAGGCAGCCCUCAGGAGUGCUCAGCAAUAUUUGGGAAAAUAUGUCUUCAAAAGAGAAGGACAGCAAGCCAGCAAAGUAGGCGAGGGGGUAUUCACAGCAUUUACUUCAUCUCCUUUGGCCAAUGCAAACCUAGUGUGUGAUGGAAAUACAUGUUUACCUGAAACUCUUUGUAGUUUCAUUCUCAGUUAUAUAGCAGAUUUUAAUAUGUUGUUUUUUUAGUGAUUUUUUACUGUUUUAUUAUUAUUAUUAAUUUAGAGCUGGUCAAUACACCCCUGCUAUUGAAUAUUUUUAAUAGAAUCUAAUUGAAGGACACUCAUUCUUCUCAGGUGGUUGGCAAAGUCAAAAAGAAUGUACAACAAACUUUACAUGCAACAACAGGUUAGCAGUAGUAGUGAGUCUGGUUCCUGAAGAGUUGUUGUUGUUUUUUGUAGAGAGGACAUCAUUAUAUUAAUGUUUUUAAAGUGACCGUAACACGAAUUAUUCUCUUUCUAUGAAUUGGAGAUAUUGUAAAUAUUUGUGCAGAUAUCAAUAUA